rnacentral:tRNA from 3 species
GCGGGAGUGGCGGAAUUGGUAGACGCGCAGGAUUUAGGAUCCUGUGGCCUUGGCCGUGGGGGUUCAAGUCCCCCUUCCCGCACCA